GUGCUCGCUUCAGCAGCAUAUACACUAAAGUUGGAACGAUACAGAGAAGAUUAACAUGGCCCCUGUGCAAGGAUGACACUCGAAUUUGUGAAGCGUUCCAUAUUAAA
ensembl:snRNA U6 U6 spliceosomal RNA